rnacentral:ncRNA from 1 species
GGCGGUACGCGCAGAGAUGUGCGUUUAAAAGGGAAGAGAGCCGAUAGCUCCGCAGCCCCCGCUACUGUUCGGCGACUGUUUCCGUCCACUGUGCUUUUUUCGGGCAUGGGAAGGACGAAAACGCCAUAAGUCGCUUUUUUUAAGCCAGGAGACCUGCCCCCC